rnacentral:rRNA from 1 species
GAUGAACGCUGGCGGCGUGCCUAAUACACGCAAGUCGAGCGAACGGACGAGAAGCUUGCUUCUCUGAUGUUAGCGGCGGACGGGUGAGUAACACGUGGAUAACCUACCUAUAAGACUGGGAUAACUUCGGGAAACCGGAGCUAAUACCGGAUAAUAUCUUGAACCGCAUGGUUCAAAAGUGAAAGACGGUCUUGCUGUCACUUAUAGAUGGAUCCGCGCUGCAUUAGCUAGUUGGUAAGGUAACGGCUUACCAAGGCAACGAUGCAUAGCCGACCUGAGAGGGUGAUCGGCCACACUGGAACUGAGACACGGUCCAGACUCCUACGGGAGGCAGCAGUAGGGAAUCUUCCGCAAUGGGCGAAAGCCUGACGGAGCAACGCCGCGUGAGUGAUGAAGGUCUUCGGAUCGUAAAACUCUGUUAUUAGGGAAGAACAUAUGUGUAAGUAACUGUGCACAUCUUGACGGUACCUAAUCAGAAAGCCACGGCUAACUACGUG